rnacentral:rRNA from 1 species
AUUGAACGCUGGCGGCAGGCUUAACACAUGCAAGUCGAGCGGAGCGAGGGUGCUUGCACCUUAGCUUAGCGGCGGACGGGUGAGUAAUGCUUAGGAAUCUGCCUAUUAGUGGGGGACAACAUUCCGAAAGGAAUGCUAAUACCGCAUACGCCCUACGGGGGAAAGCAGGGGAUCUUCGGACCUUGCGCUAAUAGAUGAGCCUAAGUCGGAUUAGCUAGUUGGUGGGGAAAAGGCCUACCAAGGCGACGAUCUGUAGCGGGUCUGAGAGGAUGAUCCGCCACACUGGGACUGAGACACGGCCCAGACUCCUACGGGAGGCAGCAGUGGGGAAUAUUGGACAAUGGGCGGAAGCCUGAUCCAGCCAUGCCGCGUGUGUGAAGAAGGCCUUUUGGUUGUAAAGCACUUUAAGCGAGGAGGAGGCUACCUGGAUUAAUACUCUAGGAUAGUGGACGUUACUCGCAGAAUAAGCACCGGCUAACUCUGUGCCAGCAGCCGCAGUAAAAC